rnacentral:rRNA from 1 species
GACGAACGCUGGCGGCGUGCCUAACACAUGCAAGUCAACUUGACUGAAGGAGCAAUCUGACAGUAGAGUGGCGCAAGGGUGCGUAACGCGUAAGUAACUUGCCCCAAGGUAAGGAAUAACGUCGAGAAAUCGGCGCUAAUACCUCAUAAUGCAGCGGAUCCGCAUGGAUAUGUUGUUAAAGGUUUACCGCCUUGGGAUAGGCUUGCGUCUGAUUAGCUAGUUGGUGUGGUAACGGCACACCAAGGCUACGAUCAGUAACUGGUCUGAGAGGAUGAUCAGUCACACUGGAACUGAGACACGGUCCAGACUCCUACGGGAGGCAGCAGUGAGGAAUAUUGGGCAAUGCUCGAAAGAGUGACCCAGCAACGCCGCGUGGAGGAUGAAGGUAUUCUAUAUCGUAAACUCCUGUGAGAGCAGACGAAAGACAGAUUAUAAUCUGGAUGACUGUAUGCUCAGAGGAAGCCCCGGCUAACUACG